UCCUCCGGCUGGAGCGGGCUGGGUACUGUGCAGAAGGCACUGGGGGAGACAGGCCUCUAGUGUUAGGUUUUGUGUUUCUCCGGCUGGAGCGGGCUGGGUACUGUGCAGAAGGAACUGGGGGAGACAGGCCUCUAGUGUUAGGUUCUGUGUUCCUCUGGCUGGAGCGGGCUGGGUACUGUGCAGAAGGCACUGGGGGAGACAGGCCUCUAGUGUUAGGUUUUGUGUUUCUCCGGCUGGAGCGGGCUGGGUACUGUGCAGAAGGAACUGGGGGAGACAGGCCUCUAGUGUUAGGUUUUGUGUUCCUCUGGCUGGAGCGGGCUGGGUACUGUGCAGAAGGAACUGGGGGAGACAGGCCUCUAGUGUUAGGUUUUGUGUUCCUCUGGCUGGAGCGGCUGGGUUUACUGUUGGCUGUAGCUGCACGUGUCAGAGACUGAGGGCUCCUUGUCUCGUCUUCCCCACUGCCUUUGGCUUCCCC